rnacentral:rRNA from 1 species
UACAGAGGUCCCAAGCGUUGUUCGGAUUCAUUGGGCGUAAAGGGUGCGUAGGCGGCGCGGUAAGUCGGGUGUGAAAUCUCGGAGCUUAACUCCGAAACUGCAUUCGAUACUGCCGUGCUUGAGGACUGGAGAGGAGACUGGAAUUUACGGUGUAGCGGUGAAAUGCGUAGAUAUCGUAAGGAAGACCAGUGGCGAAGGCGGGUCCCUGGACAGUUCCUGACGCUGAGGCACGAAGGCCAGGGGAGCAAACGGG